CGGAAAAAGUCACUUUAUUUUGAAUUUUCGUUCCUUUUAUGCGUUUCGUUCCUCUCCCCCCAACCCCCCGAGUUUCUUUCUUCCUCCCUCCCUGUUUAUUUCUUCCUCUUCUCCCUUCCCCUUUUUUUCCUUCUUCUCCCCCCACCCACCUCCCCCCCCCCCCCCCCCAGCUCCCGAACUCCUUUGCAACGUGAUUUCCCGAGAAGCCCUGCACUGAGAUUUCGAGUUCCUCCCCCGAAGCCCCGAGCUCCUCUGCAAUGUGAUUUCAAGUCGCAGAAUCGGGAGCGGGGAAAUGGGUUUCAUAUCUCAAUCGAGAGAAGAAGCUAGAUUCUAUUGUUGGUCGCUGUCCAACUUCUCCUUUUUUCCCGAAAGGACUAUAUAUAUAUGCCAAUGUUGGAAGCGGCUAUGCUUAAAUUAAUGAACAUAUGCAUAAGAUAUGGAAAAGCCAGGUGGAAGAAAAGUCUUUGCAGUCUAGUGUUUCUAGUUGGAUUAUGAACCUUCCAUUUGAUACAAAAGUUAAAGAAUGGUUGGCUGCAGAAGAAAGAUACAAGCAAGACAUACAGAUGAAAAAUAUUCUCCCUGCUGUAGCAGACAAGUUUCUAAAAUUGGGUUGUCACAAUUGUAACACUUUUGGUUUGGUUGGAUAAAUUGUAUGUAAAUAGCACGUUGUAUGGAAUAUAUCAUUAUUGAAUAGAUCAACUGCAAUGGUACUCCUCCUAUUGUAC